CUCAGGAUGAACGCUGGCGGCGUGCCUAAUACAUGCAAGUCGAGCGAACAGAUAAGGAGCUUGCUCCUUUGACGUUAGCGGCGGACGGGUGAGUAACACGUGGGUAACCUACCUAUAAGACUGGAAUAACUCCGGGAAACCGGGGCUAAUGCCGGAUAACAUGUUGAACCGCAUGGUUCUACAGUGAAAGACGGUCUUGCUGUCACUUAUAGAUGGACCCGCGCCGUAUUAGCUAGUUGGUGGGGUAACGGCCUACCAAGGCGACGAUACGUAGCCGACCUGAGAGGGUGAUCGGCCACACUGGAACUGAGACACGGUCCAGACUCCUACGGGAGGCAGCAGUAGGGAAUCUUCCGCAAUGGGCGAAAGCCUGACGGAGCAACGCCGCGUGAGUGAUGAAGGUCUUCGGAUCGUAAAGCUCUGUUGUUAGGGGAAAGGAAACAAAAAAUGUGUAAAGUAAACUGUGCACAUCUGA
rnacentral:rRNA from 1 species